rnacentral:tRNA from 1 species
GGUUGUGGCUCAGUGGUAGAGUGCUUGCCUAGCAUGUACAAAGUGCUAGGUUCAAUCCUCAGCACCA